rnacentral:lncRNA from 1 species
CUCUUCAUUAGUUUAAGCUGGGGAUGAGAGAACAUAAACACCUUACUUACAACAGCUAAAUAAGACAAAACACGCCACUGAGCGUUGAAGUUGACUCAUAUUAU